AGAUUGAACGCUGGCGGCAUGCCUUACACAUGCAAGUCGAACGGCAGCACGGGAGCAAUCCUGGUGGCGAGUGGCGAACGGGUGAGUAAUAUAUCGGAACGUGCCCAGUCGUGGGGGAUAACGCAGCGAAAGCUGUGCUAAUACCGCAUACGAUCUAUGGAUGAAAGCGGGGGAUCGCAAGACCUCGCGCGAUUGGAGCGGCCGAUAUCAGAUUAGCUAGUUGGUGGGUAAAAGCCUACCAAGGCGACGAUCUGUAGCUGGUCUGAGAGGACGACCAGCCACACUGGAACUGAGACACGGUCCAGACUCCUACGGGAGCAGCAGUGGGGAAUUUUGGACAAUGGGCGCAAGCCUGAUCCAGCAAUGCCGCGUGCAGGAUGAAGGCCUGGUUGUAA
rnacentral:rRNA from 1 species